AGAGAGAGACAUGCGCGCAUAUCAAUAAGCGGAGGAAAAGAAACUAACAAGGAUUCCCCUAGUAACGGCGAGUGAAGCGGGAAGAGCUCAAAUUUGAAAUCUUAAAGGGUUUCCCUUUACGAAUUGUAGUUUAAAGAAGUGUUUUCUGUUGAGGUUUUGGUAAAAGUUCUUUGGAAUAGGACAUCAUAGAGGGUGAGAAUCCCGUAUUUGACCUUUACUUUCAACUUUGUGAUACACUUUCAAAGAGUCGGAUUGUUUGGGAAUGCAGUCCAAAAUGGGUGGUAAAUUUCAUCUAAAGCUAAAUAUUGGCGAGAGACCGAUAGCGAACAAGUACCGUGAGGGAAAGAUGAAAAGAACUUUGAAAAGAGAGUUAAACAGUACGUGAAAUUGUCAAAAGGGAAGCGUUUGACACCAGUGUUGUUUUUCUGAAAAUCAAUUAAAGAACUGUUUAUGCUAAGUUGUUUAGACUUUAUCAGCUAUCUGUUUAGUUUUGAGCUUUUCUUUAAUGCACUUUUCAGUUAACAAGUCAACAUCAAUUUCUUUUGCCUGUAAAAAAGCUUGAGGAAGGUGGCUUGAGAUUCGUCUUAAGUGUUUAUAGCCUCUUGCCUACGCAGUCGGAGAGAUUGAGGUCUGCAGCGUAGAUCCUUCGGGGCUAAAUGCAUUUGUGCUAAGUUAUAGCAUUUUAUAGACAACUUGUUGACUAUGAUUUGUCUUGUAGCUUACUCGCUUAUGUUAUUUUACCUACGCUUAGGAUGUUGAGCGCAUGUCUCUCUCU
rnacentral:rRNA from 1 species